rnacentral:rRNA from 1 species
UGCAAGGUCAUUAUCGUACAACCGAGGCGCAAGGGCUGUCGCUGACCCUGGUUGUGCACGCUCAGCGCUCUCACACAUCCAUCUCACCCUUUGUGCAUCACCGCGAGGGUCGCCCUUAGGGAAGACUCGCGUUUUCAUAUAAAAUUUGCGGUCACACGCAAUCAAUACAACUUUCAACAACGGAUCUCUUGGCUCUCGCAUCGAUGAAGAACGCAGCGAAAUGCGAUACGUAAUGUGAAUUGCAGAAUUCAGUGAAUCAUCGAAUCUUUGAACGCACCUUGCGCCCCUUGGCAUUCCGAGGGGCACACCCGUUUGAGUGUCGUGAAAUCAUCAAUUUCUUUGAUCCUAAAUGGAUUGGACUUGGAGGUUCCUGCUCGCGCUUUCAAAAGUGAGCUCCUCUCAAAUGAAUUAGUGGGGUCCGCUUUGCCGAUCCUUGACGUGAUAAGAUGUUUCUACGUUUUGGAUUUAGCACUGUCUUUUGGACGCCUGCUCCUAACCGUCUCAUAUGAUGGUCUCCGGUCACCUACAUUGGCGUGGACCCACACCUGACCUCAAAUCGGGUGAGACUACUCGCUGAACUUAAG